GUAGGUGAACCUGCGGAAGGAUCAUUACCGAGUUCAUGCCCUUCGGGGUAGAUCUCCCACCCUUUGUAUACUAUACCUUUGUUGCUUUGGCGGGCCGCCUAGCUACUGGCUUCGGCUGGAUCGUGCCCGCCAGAGGACCACAACUCUGUAUUAAAUGUCGUCUGAGUACUAUAAAAUAGUUAAAACUUUCAACAACGGAUCUCUUGGUUCUG
rnacentral:misc_RNA from 1 species